GGUGGCCUAGUGGUUAGAGCGUCCGCCUCAAUUGCGGAAGGUUGUAUGUUCGAUUCCCGGUUGAAUCA